UUCCUCUCUCUUUCUCUGGUGCAGUUUUCUUCUCUUGCACAGGGUUUUUCGGUUGCAGAGGAAGCGAUUAGAUAUGUGCAUGUAAGGAAAAAAAAAACCAGUAUUGAAACCGUGAACCGGAAGAACCAAAACGGUCUUUAUAGGUCCGAAUUAGUUCAGUUUUGCCACUCAUUUUAGUUAAAAACCGGAUCAAACCGGACCGGAUGAACAGUGCAGUUUCGGUUACAAUUUUAAGCGAAAACCGGUCCAAACUGGACCGCGCCCAGGCCUACCACCGAUGCCUUCAACUUAGUCCUCCAUGGACGCUCGCAAUGAAAUUCCAUCGAUGCCGGCCAAUCACUUAUAUACCCACUAUCUCUUCAUCCCCCUUCAGAUUUCUCAUGGCCCUUAUUUCUCACUUUCUUUCCCAAAAUCAUCCUUCUUCGAUACCGACCACUUGCUGCUACAGCAACAUAUACUAGAGAUUCUCUGCAAUGUGCUCAGCCACAUACCAACUCUGAUUCAAAGGUGGUCGACGAUCCAUCAACCACUUCUCAUCUGCUGCCUCUAUAUUAGCUAUUAAGGACUUGAAGGCCCCUUCAGACAACCAAGGGACCAACGCCAGGCUGUGAAUUUGUUGUUGCAGAUGGCAGGUUUGAGCAUCCUUUGUUUUCCCUCCCUUUAUUAGAAAUAAAAAAUUGUGCCACAAUUUUAUUUCGUUGUUGUGCCUUUUAAAAAUUCUUGUUUGGCUCAUAUUCUUUUGAAACUUAAUUUUUAAAGAACCCUGAAUUAUAAAUUUUUUUCCUUCUCUUUUCAUAUGUCGGAGGACUUCAAUGAAUUCACUUAAAUUGAUAAGGUCUCUAGUCUGCAAAAGAUAUUUGGUUAUGUACUGUGAUUAAGUAUCAGUUAUUGAUGUAAUUUUGUAUUCCCCUGUUUCCAUUUUAAAAGAUCUCUUUGCCGGUGUUUAAAGGUCAACUGAGAAGAAGCGAGUAUUCUAAAGUCGUGUAUUCAAACAGCUCCAGAGUUGGAGUCCCUAUUCCUGCCACAUACCUACCAAAUUGGUGCUGAAAAUACAAGCACAGUUGGAUGAAGAACAUGUACAGUUAGCUUGCGCAAUUGCUCCUGUUGCUAGAGUUGGCAUUCGUGUCAUUUUUUUAGUGUUUGUGUCAACCUAAUUUUCUGAACAGGUUGAUACGACACGACACGAUAAGAAAACGGGUUGAAAAUGUCGAACCUAGAGUUGGCAUUCGUGUCAUUUUUUUAGUGUUUGUGUCAACCUAAUUUUCUUAACAGGUUGAUACGACACAACACGAUAAGAAAAUGGGUUGAAAAUGUCGGACACGAAACCGUUACAAUUCGCGAAUCACACGACACGACACGAUAAUCUGUUAAAAAUUUAAAAAUAUAAAAAUAAAAACAAAAAUAGAAAUUUUAAUCAAUUAAAAAAUCAACACAAUCCAUAGAUGAGUUCGAAGGUGAGAUUGGAGAUGCCCUGCGAGUGGCCCUCAUAGGUUUGGGCAGCGGAGAUGGUGGGAGUGGAGGAAGAAGAGUCGUCGAAGAGGAUGAGGGAGGGAGAUAGAAGGGGGAGGUGGCUGGGGUGGGUCAUGAUGGGUGGUGUGGUGGCUGCUUAAGACUCUCAAGUAGAGAGAGAGAGAGAGAGAGAGAGAGAGAGAGAGAGAGAGAGAGAGAGAUUUACAAAAAUUGCCCUUGUAUUUAACGGGUAUUCGCGAAUUAGCACGACACAACACGAUAGCUUACCGGGAAAAACGCCCUUGUAUUUAACGGGUUAACGGGUAUUCGUGAAUUAGCACGACACAACACGAUAGCUUAACGGUUGGCUAACGGGUCAACUCAAUAUCAACACGACACGUUAACUCAGACCUGAAUAUUGAUUUUUUCGUGCGAAUUCGUGUCAUGUUAACGGGUCGUGUACAAUAUUACCACCUCUACCUGUUGCAAACCCUAAUGAACAAGCUUCAAUAACAAACCUUAAUCAAGCUCUGAAAAAUAGUAACGAGCAAGCUGCAGUGGCAAACCCUACUGAGUUUGAAAGUUUACCACAAUUCAGUUCAACCCAUAUUGAGUGGGAGUGAAAAUGAUAGUUUCCAUAAAAUGUAAAUGAUAGUUUCCUUCUAUAAUGUUGGAUAUAUAUGUUGAAAACCACGGAUCUACAAGUAAUUCAUCAACAUCCUCAAAACUCCAUUCCAUGUCCAAAAAAGACAUGGACUAAGUACCCUCAUUAUUGACCCAACCAUUUGAGACAUUUUCUGUUGGAAUAUUCACUGAAUUUUCAUAACUCCCAUUUAGUAUGGGUUAAAUUGAAUUGUGGUAAACUUUCAAACUAAGUAGGGUUUGCCACUGCAGCUUGCUUGUUACUAUUUUUCAGAGCUUGAUUAAGGUUUGUCAUUGAAACUUGCUCAUUACGGUUUGCAACAGGAGCAACUGCGCAAGCUAACUGUACAUGUGCUUCAUCCAACUGUGCUUGUAUGUUCAACACCUGCAAAGUUUAAAAAUAAAAAAAAAAUCAUAUAUAUACUCAUCGAUUAAUUGAAUAUAUCUAGUUUUCCAUAAGUUCAUGGUCAAAAGGUAUUAAUUAACUUGUUGUCGGAGAUAUAAAAUAUAGGAAAUACAGCCAUAUAUGGGAUCGGUAACCUUGGCUUGAGCUUCAACUGUCAUCGUCCAUGUCGUAACAGUGCGCUCACUCAUUGGAAGCUCAGAUAGAAUCUUUGACAUUUUGCUUGCGUCAAAGACAUUGUGGAUGGAGGAGAAAUUCGUAACAGCCUCGUCAUGCAUGAAAUACGGUGCAAAAAUGCAUCCUUUCUCACAUUUUCUUUCGAAGAACUUGCAAGCUUCGCAAGUAUUAAGCGUUUGAGGAAAUAUCUGGAGAAUCGGUGAGAGAGAUUGGUGAGAAGGCAGAGAAGCAGAGGGAGAGAUAUUAAUGGGGUUGUAGAAGGAGACUCGGGCUUUGUCGGACUAUGGUGAGACGUGACAAGACAGAGUGGGCCCAAGCGGAAAUUACGGAUGUCAUGGGAAGUCGUGAUGACUUUGUUGAACGCACUAGUUCAGAAAGGACAUGUCGCAACAAAUUAGUUGGGGAUGGUUGUAUAGCCAGAAGGCUGUGGAGCUCGAGGAACGUGGGAAAGCCAGAAAAUGCUAAGGUUUGUCAUAAUUGACGUCUAUAAAAGGAAACGAAGGAAAAAAUACCACCACGCAAAAGUGAGAAAAGAAAGAAGAAAAGAGGAAAAAAAAGCAGAAAGAAAAUGUCGUAUUCCUUCCCAACUUGAUCUUAACCUCGCUCCGCCAACACAGACAUGGGAACAAGGAGCUGCACUUGUUUGGAUGCCCUACUUUGUUUCCUCACGAGGGCCAGUGACAGUAAACGACUCUUUACUCAUUGACAAUAAUGUUGCCAUUAGAGUUGCGAGGAGUUUGGUGACUCUUAGGGAUUUGCACGUGAUGAUGAGAACGAGGGAUGACAACCGGUUAGUGAGCGAUGUCAUGGCACUAAGCGUACAAAGUGUGGCAUCUAUUGCAAGUGUGGGGCAUGGGCCUCGCCUCAUUGCGAAAUCUCAUGAGGUGCAAGUGCUGAGAGCUCAGUUGGUGGCAUAGCGGAAUUUGGUUGAUGAUUAUCAGCAUGACAUCAAACGAUUGAAAAAGGAUAGGGCAAAGACGGCAAAGGAGAACCAACGCCAGCUUCAAAUAUUGUAUGUAGAAAAUGAAAAUCUACUAAAAAUGGUACCAUUUUUAUUCUAAAGACAUGCAAAAACAGCUGGAGGCCUUGGGGAGUCCAGGGAAGCGCAAACGAGAUCACGAGAGAAGUUCAAGAGAGAAGGGUGUGAUCUUUAGAGGCUCAAGUGAUGAGCCCCAAGAAGCGAUGCGUGAAAACCCGAGAGAAGAGAUCUAGAGGACAAAA